AUUGAACGCUGGCGGCAGGCCUAACACAUGCAAGUCGAGCGGAUGAAGGGAGCUUGCUCCUGGAUUCAGCGGCGGACGGGCGAGUAAUGCCUAGGAAUCUGCCUGGUAGUGGGGGAUAACGUCCGGAAACGGGCGCUAAUACCGCAUACGUCCUGAGGGAGAAAGUGGGGGAUCUUCGGACCUCACGCUAUCAGAUGAGCCUAGGUCGGAUUAGCUAGUUGGUGGGGUAAGGGCCUACCAAGGCGACGAUCCGUAACUGGUCUGAGAGGAUGAUCAGUCACACUGGAACUGAGACACGGUCCAGACUCCUACGGGAGGCAGCAGUGGGGAAUAUUGGACAAUGGGCGAAAGCCUGAUCCAGCCAUGCCGCGUGUGUGAAGAAGGUCUUCGGAUUGUAAAGCACUUUAAGUUGGGAGGAAGGGCAGUAAGUUAAUACCUUGCUGUUUUGACGUUACCAACAGAAUAAGCACCGGCUAACUUCGUG
rnacentral:rRNA from 1 species